CAGGAAGGAAGCUAGUAGCAGGGAGUGCCAUAGGAGGGAUGAAGGAGACACAAGAGAUGGUAGAUUUCGCGGCAAAGCAUAACAUUACACCAGAUGUUGAAGUCGUGCCAAUGGACUAUGUGAAUACAGCUAUGGAGCGUCUCGCGGAAUCGGAUGUCAAGUACCGUUUUGUGCUUGACAUUGGGAAUACAUUGAACAAGAGUUAAGACAUUGGACUUGUCUCAUAUCUCUGUAUUUUGGGGCAAGAAAACAAGAAUUUGGCCGACUAUGUGUAGUGUUUGAUAGUCUUUUAAGAGCCGGAUUGCAUACUGUAUUUUGCCAUAUAUAUAGGCUUCUGGAAGAAAGGAGUCAGAAGUUUUGACUCUCAAGAUUCUUUUGAGCCACAUAAAUCUGCAGAAUCUAUAGAUCUAGAGAAAAUUAAAAAAUUAACUAAGAAAUACUCAUAGGAGCCAAUUUAGACCGUCUUUUGAAAUCGGAUGUUAAGUACCGUUUUGUACUUGACGUUGGCAAUACAUUGAACAAGAAUUAGCAGUGGGACUUGGGCAAGAAAAUGAGAAUUGGAUCUACCAUGUGUGCUUCUUAGCCUAUUGAAAAUCGGAUUGCAUUUUGCUCUAGGCUUAUGAUCUUGUUUUAGCUUGCACCUAUUGGUGUUUAUUUCUUGCUAUGUUUUAUGUAUUAAAGGAAGGAUUCAGAGAAUAAAUACAUGUUUUUUCUAGCUUUGUCAUGAAAAAACUCGUCUCGAUCGAUCUUGACAUAGGUGCAUUUGAUCAUGUGGAAAUAAUAUUAUUUAGAGAUGGUCCUCCUAGUCAAAAUGUGCGGAUAAUCUGGUUAAUAUUCUUCCUUUCAGGAUGUCUGUUUUUGGCCAUUUGGGUAACCAAAUUGUUUCGGAAAUGUUUCUUUACUUCUUCCCAUGGUCUUAAGCAGAGAAUGCUUUUUCCCAUUCUUUGUUCAUCAUUGGUACUGAAGUAUUAUCCAUAUCAGUUGUCUGAGCAUGAAUUUACACCAUUUAGUAUGAAUAAUAGAGGACCCAACAUCAACCACUUAGCUUAUGCAGAUGACAUUGUCAUUAUUUUCUAUAGAGGAAACAAUCAUUCUAUCGACCUUAUUGAGAAAUAUAUCAAGAGGUAUGAAAGGGCUUCUGGGCAAAAAGUCAACAACGAUAAGAGUUACUUCAUUACUUCCCCUAAUACCUCUGCCUUCAGGAUCAAUAGAAUUAGACAAGCAUCUAGAUUCAUGGAUAAAGAAUUUUCUUUCACAUAUCUUGGCUGCCCUAUCUACUAUGGGAGGAAGAACGCUAGCGUAUUUGAUGGCAUGUUAGCUAAAAUUAUCGAAAGGCUCAACGGAUGGCAGUGCAAGAUUCUAUCUCUAGGUGCGAGAAUCACUCUUAUCAAGCAUGUUCUACAGUCUCUUCCCAUAUAUAUUCUUUCGUCUAUGAACUAUACUUCCCACCCCCCCGCAAAAGCUAUUGUUAACCUUAUGGAAAAAUACUCUGAUAAUUUUUUAUAGGAAUCUACUGAUGUACUUUCAAGGUUUUGCACAUCUCAAGUACAAAGAGGAGGGAAAACAAAAGCACCCCGCUAAAUUUUUUCACAAAACUAGCGAAAGUAUUAUUCAAACUCACAGUAGAAGAAUGUAAGAUGAAAAUAAUCUUACCCACUCGUUUUUCAAUCCCGCAAGAUUGUAAGAAGCGUUGGAUAAAGAAAAAAGAAUAAAAUAAAAAAUCAAUCACGUUUUUGAAGCUAAUGCUCAAAGAAACUAAUUAACCAUGUUUAUUUUCAGCAUAUUAAGCCCUUUAAAUAGGCCUUACAAUGAGUAAAAUUAGUAAGGUUAAGAAAAACUAAUCAUGAUUAAACUAGAAUAAGAAUAAGGCUAAGAAACCCUAUCCUAACUAUUUAGGAAAAAUAAUUCUAGUAGGAAUGAGAUAUCAACUAACAAUUCUUGUUUGACUAGAACUACUAGGGUCAGAUCUACCUUAUUAAGUAGGGGUGCCACGCCACUCACUCGCUUCACUGAAUUUUUAACUAUUUAUAUAAGAUAUCUAUGAAAAACCGAUAUAUAAAUCUAGUGGCAACUGAACUAGACAAAGAAUACGCGGGUGCGUGUGGUUUAGCGUCUCUUCUAAAGACUAUUGUUGGCCUCAUGAAUGCGAGUUCAUUUCCCCGUAUGAGCAUUAUCUUUUAUUUACUUUUUUUGGGUUUUGUCAGUUGGGCCCUAGGGCCUUACCCUUUUUUCUUUUUUGGACGUCGUUUUCCCUUCUUUAUUUCUUCCUUUAAUGUGACGAUCCGGCCGGUCAUCUUAACAAUUAACGCCUCGAUCCCCUAUUAAUUAUUUUCCCAAGUCUAUUACUCCUAAUUUGCAUUGUCGGGAUGUUCGGUUUUGAGUUUCGGAGAGUUUUGGGAUACUUAGUCCCUAAAUGACAGCAUAAGUGUUGAAAAGUUGCUCGUAGUCAGAAUAGUGUGAAGCCAGACUCGGAAUAGAAAUCUGAUGGUUCUGUUAGCUCCGUUAGGUGAUUUUGGGGUUAGGAAUAUGUUAGGAAUAUAUUUUAGAGGUCCGUAGCUAAUUUAGGUUUGAAAUGCCAAAGUUUGAAUUUUUGAAAUUUCUGAUCCAGUAGUGAGAUUUUAAUUUGAGGGUCGGAAUGGAAUUUCAGAAGUUGUAAUAGUUCCAUCAUGCCAUUUGGGAUGCGUGUGAAAAUUUUCAGGUCAUUCGGACGUGGUUUGGUUAGGUUUUUUUAUCAAAAGCGUAUUUUGAGAGAAUUUAAAGUUCUUAGGCUUAAAUCCUUGGUUAAUUCGAGUUUCCGACAUUGUUUUAGGUGAUUUAAGGAUUGGUACGAGUUUGAAUGAUAUAAUGGGAUAUGUCCAUAAGUUUGGUUGAGAUCCCGGGUGCCUCGGGUGUGGUUCGGAUACUCAACGGGGCAUUUUAGAGUUUUUCAAAAUUGCAGAUUUUUGCUUAAGCUAUUGCAGACCAUUUUCCCUCUUCGCGUUCGCAUUGCAUCUACCGCGUUCGCGAAGCUUUUACUUUUUCCUCCGUCGUGUUCGUGUCCAAGCCCUUACGUUUGCGUAGAGUUAUUUGACGUUGAGGGCUGAGUCUAUUUUUCCUUAUUGCAUUCGCAUGCAUCCGUUUGCAUUCGCGUAGCCUUGCAGGUUCUCUCUCUGCAUUCGUGUAGAACAAUUUCUGGGCCAUAACAUUUUUACUCUUUGCGUUCGUGUUACUACUCUCACGAUCGCGAUGGCCUUUCUUGGCAGCCUCAUGACUUCCUCUGCGUUCGUGAUGCAUAAAAUAUCUUGGCAGUUAAAAAUAUUUCAAAAACGAGGGUUUAGCCAUUUUUACCAAUACUCAAGCUUGAGCGCUCGGAUUUGAGAGAGCUUUCAAGGGAUUUUCAGAGGCAUUGAUUGGGUAACGAUUCUAGACUUAUUUUUUCUUGUAACCCACUAAUCUAAUCAUGAAUUCCUCUUUUAAUUUCGAAAUUUUGAUGAAAACUUGAUAAAACUUCAUAAACCGAAUUUUUGAGAUUUGAAUGGGUGUUUGACCUCCGAUGUUGUCAAAGAGUUGAACAAUGGUUUUUUUGAGAGAUUUUUAUAUGGAUAGACUCGUGAGAGUACAAGGAUUCUAAAAAUAUUAAUUUCAUCCGAUUUGGAGAUGUCGGACUGGGGGCAUUUUGGUUAUUUUACAUAUGUUCACGUCUUAGCUUUGAAUUUAGUCGUGGGAUCAGUUGUUUGAGAUGUUAUUUAUGAUAUGUAAUUGGAUUGAAUAGAUUUGGGCCAUUUGGAGUCGGAUACUUGUGGCAAACAUGUGGUUUCGAGUUGAUUUUGGAUCCGGUUCGAGGUAAGUAACUUGUCUAACCUUGUGCGGGGACCUUCCCAUUACGAUAUGAUAUUUGGUAAUUUAAUGCCUUGUACUUGAGGUGACGAGUGCGUACUUGAGCUAAUUGUCGAAAAUCUAUUUUUAAUUUUAAGUAUUUAGACCGAGUUUCUUUCUUACCUGCUUAUUCCUACUUGCAGUUUUCUCCUGUGUUAGUUUAGAAAAGCAUACUUAGUUGACAUAAAUUGUCUAUUUGCUUAAGUUGCUUUGAUGUUAAUACGUGAAGCAUGUUAGGCUAGAACUACCUGUUACCUUGUAUUUUUGCACUCCAUUUCCGAUUAUCUUCUUGUUGUGGCUGCAUAUUAAUAAUUGGGACUAUGGAUGUGAGAUUCCGAUAGCUCCCCUAUGUUUUUUUAUUUUGGGAUUACGUGUUAGAUUCUCGGUAGAUCCCCUACACAUUUACAUUGGGAUUACGGAUCGGAUUCCGGUAGAUACCAGUGCAUUGAUAGUUGGACUACGGGACGACAUCCCGGGAGAUCCUUCAGAUAUACACAUAUGAUGGACUAUGGGACGGUAUUCCGGGAGAUCCUUGGACAGUUGACGGAAUGGAUUACAUGACGGUAUCCUGGGAGAUCGUCGUUGUUGGUACUUCUAUUGAGCUGUUUUAAUCAAUGUUACCUUAUUCUCUGUGUGUUAUUUGUUGCAUUAUAUAACCUGUCUUACUUCAUAGUUGUACUCAUUAUUUCUAUUUAUUUUCUACUUUUGUAAGA
rnacentral:lncRNA from 1 species